CAUGCAGGAGGCGGCCGUUUGUGAAAGAAAACCCUCCAAAGCUCAGGUUUCCUAACAGCCGCUCUCUGGACGCUGUCACCCUCCAUGGAAAGCAGGGAAAGAGUCGAAUGGCAAGUGGCAGCACACCAACUUGCACGUGCCGGCUCGUCUACAGGAGGGCGUCUCCUCUGCGGCUGGGACAGGCAGAGCGGUCGGCUCAUUGAGUCCUCACCCUGUCAGCGACAUGGCGCCCAAGGAGCCUGAGCUCCACAUCUGCCCGCCCACAAGAAACCAAGAAGAAAUAAACCUUUUUGGUUUUGAUUCACCUCAAUCAAA